rnacentral:rRNA from 1 species
UCGCACGAGAAAGGGGAGCAAUCCCUGAGUACAGUGGCGCACGGGUGAGUAACACGUGAAUUAUCUACCUCCGAGUGGGGAAUAACUGAGAGAAAUCUUAGCUAAUACCGCAUAACACUCACGAGUCAAAGCAGCAAUGCGCUUGGAGAGGAGUUCGCGGCCGAUUAGUUAGUUGGCGGGGUAAUGGCCCACCAAGACGAUGAUCGGUAUCCGGCCUGAGAGGGCGCACGGACACACUGGAACUGAAACACGGUCCAGACUCCUACGGGAGGCAGCAGUGGGGAAUUUUGCGCAAUGGGGGAAACCCUGACGCAGCAACGCCGCGUGGAGGAUGAAAUAUCUUGGUAUGUAAACUCCUUUCGAUGGGGAAGAUUAUGACGGUACCCAUAGAAGAAGCCCCGGCUAACUUCGUGCCAGCAGCCGCGGUAAUACGAGGGGGGCAAGCGUUGUUCGGAUUUAUUGGGCGUAAAGGGUGCGUAGGCGGUUUGGCAAGUCUGAUGUGAAAUCUAUGGGCUCAACCCAUAGUCUGCAUCAGAAACUGCCGGGCUUGAGUAUGGGAGAGGUGAGUGGAAUUUCCGGUGUAGCGGUGAAAUGCGUAGAUAUCGGAAGGAACACCUGUGGCGAAAGCGGCUCACUGGACCAUAACUGACGCUGAUGCACGAAAGCUAGGGGAGCAAACAGGAUUAGAUACCCUGGUAGUCCUAGCCCUAAACGAU